rnacentral:rRNA from 1 species
GACGAACGCUGGCGGCGUGCUUAACACAUGCAAGUCGAACGGAAAGGCCCUGCUUUUGUGGGGUGCUCGAGUGGCGAACGGGUGAGUAACAAGUGAGUAACCUGCCCUUGACUUUGGGAUAACUUCAGGAAACUGGGGCUAAUACCGGAUAGGAGCUCCUGCUGCAUGGUGGGGGUUGGAAAGUUUCGGCGGUUGGGGAUGGACUCGCGGCUUAUCAGCUUGUUGGUGGGGUAGUGGCUUACCAAGGCUUUGACGGGUAGCCGGCCUGAGAGGGUGACCGGCCACAUUAGGACUGAGAUACGGCCCAGACUCCUACGGGAGGCAGCAGUGGGGAAUAUUGCACAAUGGGCGGAAGCCUGAUGCAGCAACGCCGCGUGCGGGAUGACGGCCUUCGGGUUGUAAACCGCUUUCGCCUGUGACGAAGCGUGAGUGACGGUAAUGGGUAAAGAAGCACCGGCUAACUACGUG